GUCAAAUCAUCAUGCCCCUUAUGACCUGGGCUACACACGUGCUACAAUGGAUGGUACAAAGGGCUGCAAGACCGCGAGGUUUAGCCAAUCCCAUAAAACCAUUCUCAGUUCGGAUUGUAGGCUGCAACUCGCCUACAUGAAGCCGGAAUCGCUAGUAAUCGCGGAUCAGCAAAGCCGCGGUGAAUGCGUUCUCGGGGAUU
rnacentral:rRNA from 1 species